UAUUUUAUUAUUUAUCGGAAUGGGCCAUUUUCCCUGAAAACGCGUCCACGUCAGUACAUUGUCAGGGUGUACAACCUAAUUUUGUCCGGGCCCAAACGGCCCAGUACCCAAAACCCAUUACAAACCCAAAUAACCCAACAAAAUAAAACAAACCCAAUUAUAAACAGGCCCAAUACAAAACUCUAGCCCAUUUUCAAAAAAAGGGGGGGGGGGAAAUCAACAACCACCUAACCUUAGGUGCGCCGCACCUAGGGUCUUCGCCCAUUUGCACUGCCGCCGUCUCUAGCGGCCACCAACUCUGCUACCGCAUGGCCUCCUCACCUGCUCCACCUGCCAAACAAAAAGAAACACGCAAUAGCAGAAAGCAGAGAAAAAAUAUAUAAUAAAAACUAAAGUAUGUAAAUCGGCUAUAACAAGCCUAGAUAUCAACCUUGUUUUUUUUUGAGGAAGAUUUUCAGAGAAUAAAAAUAGAAAACUAGUCUCAAGGUGAAUACCUUUUUUGUAUUUUUUUGAUUUCGAUCUCCUAUUAUUUUUGUUUAUAUAUAUUUAUGAAAACAAAAAAUAAAAGAAAAACAAAAAAAAGGAAGGGAAAAGGAACCUUACCUGCGCCGCGCCGGAGGAAGAGAAGACGAGCGGUUUCCCCUCGUUCUUCGGGUCUUGGACUCAUUUUUCCGAGAUUUGGCCUUGGAUCCGUGUCCUAGAGACAUUCGGCUCCAAAAAGGGACCAAAAAGAUCCGAUUUUGAGCCACCGACCGCCGCACGUGGCGACGCUACGGCGGAAGUUUACCGGAGACCGAAGGUCGGAUAUUAUGAGAGAAAAGGGGAGGGGCAUCAGUUUUUUUUUUAUGAACAAAGAAAGAAAAAAUGUUUUUUUUUCUUUAAAUUUUUACUUAUAUAGGCCAUCAAAACGACGUCGUUUUGAGGCUGGCCUUAAACGCCCAAAACGGCGUCGUUUUACCCAUAACCCGCAUGCGCGUCCCGACCCGCCACAGGAUUCUUGCAUUUUUUACUUUUGGGAUAUUUCCCGCUUUGGUCCUUCCGCAUUUUCUAUCCUUUUAAUGCAAUUUAUUUUUAUUUGCAAUUUUGACCCUAUUAUUUUUAUUUUAUUUCGAUUUGGUCCCCAUUGAAGCUGUGCGUUUUGGAGGGACAGGAUUAUUUCCCAUUUGGUCUCUCCUUGUUGUUCGCGCGUUCAAGGUGGUCUUUCUCCUUUAAUUUAUUUGCGACUUGACCCCAAAUUUUAUUUUUUUAAAAUUCAAUUUAGC
rnacentral:lncRNA from 1 species